UGUGGACACGUGGGCCGCAUGGCUGAUUCUCCGGCAGACGACGCAAGCACAGGAAGACCGUCACGAAGGGCUCUGACGACACGCUGUGCCUUACUCGUAUUCGUGGUCAUAGGUAGCCUGUUGUUCGUUGGAGGAAUGUUUUUCAAGUUCGUCUCUAGCUCCACAGAUGACAGAAACUUCAGCAUGCAGAGGCACAGCAACACUCGUGUCUGAUAGUAUUACUUGAUAGACAUCUCACCAUCUGGUGAUUAAUACAGAUGAGCAGCAAGACCGCACAGCGUCUGUGUUGGCGAGAGUGGCGUGGCUUCAGCUGCCGCACGGAUACGAUGCCAGGAGUCGCCAUCGCUACGCGGACAACGGCUGCCGCCAUCUUCUGCCCAUGUUCAUCUCCCGGCAGCAGUUUCCCUGCAAUGAGUGCAUGUGCGUCCAACACCAAAACCAUCCUGUAUUCAGUGUGACGUUCCUAACCUUAAUACAGUGAGAAUCGCAGACGGCACCACAAGACUCGCAAUGGCUCAUGUUUCACCUCUGUAGGCAAUGUACUCGCUUAGGAUUCGAUGUGAAGAUAUUUAAAUUCUUGAGCAGUUUGCGGCAGUGCCAGCUGCUCGUCAACGAAGAACAUAUCUUGCAGAUCAGAGCAAAACCGUUAACGAAAAAUAAUUCUGUAUCGAAUUCCGUCUUGUGAAGGCAAAAGCAGUUUUGAUUGAAUAUUUUCGGAAGCACUGACUCUGUUGGAACAACAAUGUUGUUAAGCCAUGGAAGGCAUCGUGUAUAAAAUGAGACCUGUUAACAGUACUAAUGCUCAGAGGAACUAUGUUCUUAUGUAAAAAAUUCCUUACUUUAUACUUUAUUGUAUUUAUACUUCAUCCUUAUGUUAUUUAUUGUUAUUAAUUUUAAAUUUAAUCGCCUAAGCGUUUUCAUGUAAGAUUUGAGUAUUAAGUAUUUUCUUGAGUAAUUUAAGGUACGCAUUAGUAUUUUAUAUAGUUACUCCUCGAUGUCUGUGUUCUACAAUAUCUCUUUCCCAAAACUGUCAUCCAAUGGGUCUGCGUCUACAUUUAUUCUGUUCAAACCAAUAUAAAGUGCAUGUUAGAGGGUACAUGCCAUUGUGCCACUUUUUAGGAUCAUAUCUCAUUCCAUUUGUGAAUGGAGUGCAGGAUCAGUAACUGCUUAAGGGGCUCCGGAACGCCCUAUACUUGCAAUGUUAAAAUAACGCUUAUAAAUUACAUCUUUCCUCACAAAGUAUUUGAGGUAGGAAGUUGAAAUU